AUUGAACGCUGGCGGCAUGCCUUACACAUGCAAGUCGAACGGCAGCACGGGAGUAAUCCUGGUGGCGAGUGGCGAACGGGUGAGUAAAGUAUCGGAACGUGCCCAGUCGCGGGGGAUAACGUAGCGAAAGUUACGCUAAUACCGCAUACAAUCUAUGGAUGAAAGCGGGGGAUCGCAAGACCUCGCGCGAUUGGAGCGGCCGAUAUCAGAUUAUGUAGUUGGUGGGGUAAAGGCGCACCAAGCCGACGAGCUGUAGCUGGUCUGAGAGGACGAGCACGCACACUGGGACGGAUAGACGGGCCAGACUCCUACGGGAGGCAGCAGUGGGGAAUUUUGGACAAUGGGGGCAAGCCUGAGCCAGCCAGGCCGCGUGCAGGAUGAAGGCCUUCGGGUUGUAAACUGCGUUUGUAGGGAACGAAAAGGUUAGGCUUAAUACGUUGAACUCUUGACGGUACCGUAAGAAUAAGCACCGGCGAACUACGUGCCAGCGGCCGCAGUAA
rnacentral:rRNA from 1 species